rnacentral:rRNA from 1 species
UACGUAGGGGGCAAGCGUUGUCCGGAUUUAUUGGGCGUAAAGAGCGUGUAGGCGGCCAGGUAGGUCUGCUGUGAAAACUCGAGGCUUAACCUCGAGCUGUCGGCGGAAACCAUCUGGCUAGAGUCCGGAAGAGGAGAAUGGAAUUCCCGGUGUAGCGGUGAAAUGCGCAGAUAUCGGGAAGAACACCAGUGGCGAAGGCGACUUCCUGGCCUGUUCUUGACGCUGAGGCGCGAAAGCUAGGGUAGCAAACGGG